UUCUUAUCCGCUCAUUAUAAGUAAAAUCUGCUCCAUGUAAUAUAAAUAGCCGCAGAAUAUUAACUGUGCUAAGGUAGCAUAAUCAUUUACCUUUUAAUUAAAGGUCUGUAUGAAUGAUUCAACAUUUAGAUUACUUUUUUGUUAAACUAAAUUGAAACUAAAUUAAACAUAAAAAUGUGUUUAUUUUUAAAAAAGACGAUAAGACCCUAUUGAACUUAACUCUAGUUAAGCUGGGGAAGCUAAUUAAAUACAAUUUUAAUUUUUAUAAAAAUUAAAGAAUCUGAAAAAUCAAUCCUGAAUAAGUUACCAUAGGGAUAACAGCGUAAUAUUUCUUUAAAGCUCUUAUUAAAAGAAAAGAUUGCGACCUCGAUGUUGAAUUAGAAUUACUUUAAAACGCAAUAGUAUUAAAAGUGGGUCUGUUCGACCCUUAAACUUCUACA
rnacentral:rRNA from 1 species